AGGCGUGGCUUCCGGAGCUAACGCGUUAAGUAGACCGCCUGGGGAGUACGGCCGCAAGGUUAAAACUCAAAUGAAUUGACGGGGGCCCGCACAAGCGGUGGAGCAUGUGGUUUAAUUCGAUGCAACGCGAAGAACCUUACCUGGUCUUGACAUCCACAGAAGAAUCCAGAGAUGGAUUUGUGCCUUCGGGAACUGUGAGACAGGUGCUGCAUGGCUGUCGUCAGCUCGUGUUGUGAAAUGUUGGGUUAAGUCCCGCAACGAGCGCAACCCUUAUCCUUUGUUGCCAGCGGUUAGGCCGGGAACUCAAAGGAGACUGCCAGUGAUAAACUGGAGGAAGGUGGGGAUGACGUCAAGUCAUCAUGGCCCUUACGACCAGGGCUACACACGUGCUACAAUGGCGCAUACAAAGAGAAGCGACCUCGCGAGAGCAAGCGGACCUCAUAAAGUGCGUCGUAGUCCGGAUUGGAGUCUGCAACUCGACUCCAUGAAGUCGGAAUCGCUAGUAAUCGUGGAUCAGAAUGCCACGGUGAAUACGUUCCCGGGCCUUGUACACACCGCCCGUCACACCAUGGGAGUGGGUUGCAAAAGAAGUAGGUAGCUUAACCUUCGGGAGGGCGCUUACCACUUUGUGAUUCAUGACUGGGGUGAAGUCGUAACAAGGUAACCGUAGGGGAACCUGCGGUUGGA
rnacentral:rRNA from 2 species